AAGCAAUUCGAAUCGGUCAAUGCUUGAGGUAGGCUUCGGAAUAGGAAAGAUAUGAUGCCGAAUAUAAGAAACACCUAGUUGGUUCAAAAAUAACAGUUGCCCUGGCAUCUCGCUAUAAACGUAAGUAAGAUCAAGGUCCAAAGCUUUGUAUUGAGCAAUUGGUUUGGAAAUUUGCGUAAUGUCGUUUUGAAAAGAAGAACCCUGGAUGUAGGCACGACUAAGCAACUCCUUCCUCAAAUUAAGAGAAACGGUGCACUUUGAUGUCCUUGCAUCCAUAAUUGCAAAAAUUCCCCGAAUUAGUACCCGACGGAAAUUCUCGCACCAAGCCAUAGCUUGAUGAUCAAUUUCUGCCCAAACGGAAGGGAUACCAGAAGUAAAAACCAUUAGACCGUUCGAGGGGGGCACAAAGGUAGAGAUGGACGAAUACUCCGGUACAACAUGAGUAUCUAAACCUCCCCCAGCUAUGGAAACAAGCAAAACAUCAUCUAGUGAAUUUUCUUCUGGACUCAACAGAAAGGACUGGGACCAAAAGUUUUUAAUUGAUUCAUAAAAUUCUACUAGAUGCCUAUCAAAAGGCAAAGGGGCCA